GAAGGGGUAGCCGAAAACCUUUUCCUAGAGUAGGCA
rfam:Chryseobacterium sp. IHB B 10212 strain IHBB 10212, complete genome.